AGAGUUUGAUCCUGGCUCAGAUUGAACGCUGGCGGCAUGCUUUACACAUGCAAGUCGAACGGCAGCACGGGGGCAACCCUGGUGGCGAGUGGCGAACGGGUGAGUAAUAUAUCGGAACAUGUCCGGAAGUGGGGGAUAACGUACCGAAAGGUACGCUAAUACCGCAUAUGCCCUGAGGGGGAAAGGUGGGGAUCGCAAGACCUAUCGCUUUCGGAGUGGCCGAUAUCGGAUUAGCUAGUUGGUGAGGUAAAGGCUCACCAAGGCGACGAUCCGUAGCUGGUCUGAGAGGACGACCAGCCACACUGGGACUGAGACACGGCCCAGACUCCUACGGGAGGCAGCAGUGGGGAAUUUUGGACAAUGGGGGCAACCCUGAUCCAGCCAUGCCGCGUGAGUGAAGAAGGCCUUCGGGUUGUAAAGCUCUUUCAGACGGAAAGAAACGGUUACGGCUAAUACCCGUGACUAAUGACGGUACCGUCAGAAGAAGCACCGGCUAACUACGUGCCAGCAGCCGCGGUAAUACGUAGGGUGCGAGCGUUAAUCGGAAUUACUGGGCGUAAAGCGUGCGCAGGCGGUUUUGUAAGACAGACGUGAAAUCCCCGGGCUUAACCUGGGAACUGCGUUUGUGACUGCAAGGCUAGAGUAUGGCAGAGGGGGGUAGAAUUCCACGUGUAGCAGUGA
rnacentral:rRNA from 1 species